AUGUCAACCACAACACGCCGACGUGUUUGCACGCCGCCGGCGUCUGCGUCGACGAGGAAGACUCUCUCGGUCGAUGUCCUGCUCGAGAUCGUCGCCUGCUCUGACGUCACAACCAUCGUCCGCUGGGCCGCAACCGGCAAGGUCCUCCGCCGCGCCAUCCUCGAGCCGGCCUUCCACCGCCGGCUCGUGGCGGCCGGCUUUCAGUUCGACCCCGCCCUCCUCUUCGCCGUCUCGUACGAGUCGUACCUGAAAUACGACAGCCACAGACGGUACACCCUCCACGUCGUUCAUACCCGCGAGCCAAGCCGGCGCCGCGCCGACGAGGACGCCAUCAGCAUCCAUCACCAUCGGUGGUUCAAGCCCGUGGCCGCCCGAGAUGUUCUGCUCCUCCGCUGGUGCGACGCGUUCCGCGUUUCUUCCCGGGUCGACCUGCACGUCUGCAACAUGCUCACCGGGCAGGUCACCGAGCUACCUCUGGCCACCGUGUCCGACGUGCGCCAGAACCAAUACGUGCUGCUCAGCGUCGGCGACGUGGGUGGAUCGUUCGAGGUGCUCGUCGCGGACGACGACACGCGAUUCCAGAUCUUCUCGUCCAAGCAAGGCAGAUGGGGCGUCGUCCGCCAAGCCUCCGUCGCCCGGCACCGCCCGAUAAGCAGCUCCUCCCUCCCGGCCAUCAUCGGCCGGACCGUCUAUUGGCUCGUCCUUGUGAACGACCGGCAACGCUACUACCCGGGCGGGCCGGGCCCAGAGAGGAUCCUCGCCCUAAACGUCGACGCGGCGGAGGCAACGAUGAUGAAACUCCCGCAGGGCUGCAUCUCCAGCCUGAUGCCCUACCGUCACAACGACAAGCACCUCCUCCUGGCAUCGGUGCGUGGCCAGCUGAGCUUGCUCGUCACGGAGAGCCUUGGGAUAACGAUGUGGACGUUGACCUCGAGGGGCUCGGCCUCGGCGGCGACAUGGAACCGGCAGCUGGUGAUCGGGGCGAGGGAGAUCUUGAGGCAGGCAGAGCUAGAGGUGGGCGAUGAUCUCACGCGCGUAUGCGUUGACCUCGAGGGGCUCGGGGAAAAAAGCGGCUCCUUGAUCCUGUUUGUGGGCUCUGGCAUGCCCUUCCGACUCGACCUUGGAAUCAACAAGGAGGAGGCACCCAUCCUCAAGAGGCUUGGUAGCGUUGAAAGUUUGGGUGUCAAGGAAGUGUUCUUGCACGAGAUAGAUCGGUCCUCUUUGCUGCAGGCCAUGAAAUCUUUCUGA
rnacentral:rRNA from 1 species